UAUUUUUCCGUGUCGUGCUGGAUGAGAACCUGCGUUCAGGUUCGAGCCGAGCGAAGCGAGACGACAACGCACAGCGUUGCCCGCAGGGCGAGGCCCAAGGCCGAGUCAAUCCUGCACGACCCACCA
rnacentral:sRNA from 2 species